CCUAGAUCUCACCGUGGGAAAAUAUCUGCCGCUAACUCCUUCCUUCUUCCAACCCACACCUCCUCUCUCCCCGCCUCCCCGCGCCUACCGCCGCCCGACCCUCGCCUCUGCUCCCGUGAGUCCGUUGAUGGACGCUCGCCGCCGGCUCCUUCGUGGCGGGCUAAGCCAUGGGGAACAACGUGGUGGCGGGUGGGACAAGGCGGCCGGAGGAGGGAAUCCCGGCGGCGAGCGGACGGCACCGGAUGUGAUGGCCAUGGUGGCGCGCCGCCUCUGGCACAUCUCAUCCUGUCGCGGAGAUGCUCGUCGCGAGGCGGGAGGCAGCGCAGCCAUGGGGAGGGAGAAGGCAUGGUGUAGGGUUAAGAGCCAGGACAAGGAGGGACGAGAAGGGAAAGAGGAGGGCUCGAGGACGGGAAGGCGUCCGCCGUCUCCGCGUGAAGGAGGGACUCCGCUGCGGGAACAAGUCUGUCAUCGGGCGGACUGAUCUCCUUCACCGCUGCUUCAUCUUCGACGCCCACAUGUCCUCUCCGUGUGAGCAGCAGCGACCUGCGGCCGCCGAUGCAGAUUCUGCAAUGGUCGAUGCAAGCCAAUGAUCUGCUCCGAUGAUUCAAGUUUUCCAAGCUUAUUGCCGACCAUUUUCUUCUGCUGAGGUUGGAUGGAGCAUCGAACAUUUCUGUCUUGAGUCUUGAGGGUGGCCACAGUAUUGCAGGUUUGUUCAAAGUAAACCACGAGUUCAUGAUGUACAUGAUUGGACCUGAGCAAAGAAUGGGAAGCAGUGGCGAUGGCAUUCUGAAAGUUCCCGCUUGAGCCGAGUAAUAUCGCCACCGUUCCACUGUUUAUUGAUGCCAUUGAUUAUUGCCAUAUCAAAGGAGUCUUAUCAUAGAGGUCUGAAGAUAUAGCUGAAAAGCUUCCACAGAAGGAUUCUUUAAUUCACUAAAGAUGUUGGCUCCUCCUCCUCGCCCACUGUAUCAGUAUAGGAAGCUCUUAGCCACUUCACUAGGAUACAUGCCAAAUUAAGCUCCGGUCAUAAUAUUCAGGCCUUUUGAAGUUUUUAGUUUGGAUUGGCUGCAUGCAUUCUGAAGACUCAGGGAAACACGAAGGAGCACUGCCAAAUGGAUGAUUUUUCUUGGGACUCUUGUGCGGUUCAAACAGCUCUAAAGAUGGUACCUAUUCAGUAAGGUAUAUCCACUUGCACCAUAUUAGUCAAAUAUAAAGAGAAUAUUGGAUUGUGUGGUGCAUAUUUCAAAGAAUUACUUCUAUAAAUGUUCCAAGAGUACCCGGCCAGGGAGAUGGUCUCCAGGGGGCAGUCUUCGUUGGCCGUUCGAUCCACUCUGAACUGCCCCACUUUCUACUCCAGCCGUUAGAUUCAGUCAUUUCUUUCUUCACUCGUUCAGCUUGUAAGUGAGUCCAUGACAUGUGGGGUUGAAUACGUGUCUGGUCCAGCGGUCGGAGGCAGCCAAGCGCUAUCGCGAGCGUCACCAUCAUUUUCCUGUACGGUGAAAACCUAGAUCGGUGAAAACCACUUCCCCAAUCCCCGCAUCCUCUCAUCCUCCCCAAUCCCUGCAUCCUCUCCUCCUCCCCAAUCGGCCGCCCCCUCUUCCCUCGCCCUCCAAUCGCUCGGCGGAUGGGGUCCCCGGGAAGCUCGUCGUGAAGCAGCAGGAGGUUGAGGUCGAGCAAGCAGCGGCGGUGCUGGUCGCGCGGCGCGGACGCGUAGGAGGAGGCGCGCCUGGCCGAGGACGGGCGGGAGGAGGCGGCGCGACAGCGGGUGGCAGACGCGGUCCCCGGGAGCUUCUCGUGACGCAGCAGGAGGUUGAGGUCGAGGCAGCGAUGGUGGUGCUGGCCGCGACGGACGCGAAGGAGGAGGCGCGCCUGGCUGAGGUCUGGCAGGAGAGGCGGCGCGGCGGCGGACGGGGUUCCCGGGGAGCUCCUCGCUAUGCUGCAGGAGGCCAGGUGUGCCGCGGCGCAGCAGCGCAAGGAGGCCUCGCAUGUCGUCGAGCUCGAGAGGCGGUUCAAGGUGCUCGACGGGCUCAUCCAGAGGGCGUCUGGUCAUUGAUCUUUGGCUGCCUUCUCAUGCAAGUGCUGCAGGAGCGCGUCCCGAAGGAGGCCGUCGGCACGAGCGGCGAGCAGAUGCGACCACAUGUGGGGUAAAGCUACCAAGCAGGCGAGUAAAGGAGACAAGGGACUCCUCCACGGCUCGACCAGCGACGCUUGAGAUGGCAGGAGGGAAAGCAGGUGUGGCAGGCAGAGGAGGGAAGACUCGACCACAGCCAUAGUCAAAAAGCUUUGGCAUGGAUUUGAGCAAAAGAAGAGUCACAGGAAUUUGGAUCUUCUAACUUGCAGCUAGGUUUUCGGUGUACAGAAGAUUCUUACCAAUGGUGAUAACAGGCAACAUGCUGCAGGCGGGAAAUACAGUGGAGGGUUGCUGCCGGAGCUUGGCGUGAGUUCUUGCGAGUUCUUGCGAUGGCAUGGUGAGAUAUACAUUGACCCCAGUAAUACUGAAAUAUUUUGGGUCAGUGGAAUGCAUGAAUGCAAAUUUUGGGAUAAAUGACAAGGUUCUUUUGGAGCUUCAGGAGCGAGCAACCAAAUUGAAGACAAAGACCUUGAUGAAUCAAAUUUCAUCCUGUGCACUUGGCCAGAUGAGAAUGAUAGGACUGUAUCAUUCAUACUUCUAUGGAGCUUUUGAUCUAAUAUAAUGGCAUACAGGCUUGGGAAUGAUAUACAAUUAUGGUGGGUACUUGCUGUGGUCUUUUUCACGUUUCGUGUACCUGGUGAGAUUUCUGAUCCACUAUCUAUUUUUGCCCAGUAUCUCUGAUAUCUUAUAUGCACAUAGAUAUGUUAGCGAUAUAGAGACAUAGUGUCUGCUGCUUUCUUAUCUUACAUGCUAUUCUUGCGUUUAGAUCUUUGUUCAAUACAUUAUAUGGUUUUGCUUACAAUGUUUACACCUUAUUGUGUUGCAAAUUAAUCAACCUACAUUCAUGAUGUAUGCACUGCCUUUUAGAUUUGUGUAAAGUCCUUGCUUGAUUUAGUCCAGACUCCAUUUGCACCGUGCUUUGUGCUUGUUUUCUGCUUUCCUUGAAUUACCUUUUAUGUUUGACAAGCUGUCCUAUGUCACACCGAACUUCCUGGGGGUUGUGUUGGUGUGGUGCCGCGGAGGAAGUUCUUUUGGAGUAUCACCUUCUGUGGUUUUUUGGACGCUUACAACCAGGCCACUAUGCAAGCGAUCAGAUUUUUGCAAGAAAUGUAUGGUUUCGUUUUUCGAGACUAUAACUAUGACUGUAAGAUCGCGUACAGAGAUUAUACACGUUCUGCUUGUCGUUGCAGCAUGUGCCUUGUUUUUAUGUUCUUUGUCACCUUUUAUCAUGCAUUCUGGGAUCAUUUGUUUCUUUCCUUACAUUGGUGUAUAGGUAUCAGCUUUUAUUAUUUUUCUUGACCUGUAUCGAGUUUUGUACUGUGUACUUCAGGAAAUGUCUGUGAAUACUUCACUUGAAACUGCCUGCAUAAUUUUUCUCAGAUAUGCAUUGAUUCAUUUGCCUGAAAGUAACUUGUGUUAUGUUGUGUUGGAAAUUUCUUUGAGACCAUAUUAUGUUUUGUAGUGUUGGAAUACUAAAUUAAAGUGGAACUGUCGGAACACGAUAUAUACUUUGGGCUGCCGUGUUACGUUGUUUGAGAAGGUUCUUCAGUUGCCUUGGUGGCAUUUUGUGAUAGAAUCCAUUGUUGUUAGUGUACAUAGAACUAUUUACGAUCCCGAGUGUUAUCAUAAAGAUGCUUCUAAUAAUGUUUGUAGUUUCUGAUUCACUUGUUUCCUGGGGCUUUUUCCCUAUUGCAGCUUGUUACAGUUACAUAUGUUAAUUAGGCUGUUUCAGUGGAAGCUACUCAAGCAAUAGGGAAUCUAGCCAAAGGUUUAAGAACUCAUUUUCUGCAAACUCACGGAAUCUGCAUAUAGCUUAAGUCAAAAUGUCCUUUUUCCGAGACAAUUUUGUUUUGUUGUUAAUGAUAUCUUGUAGCUUAUAGCUUAAGGUGUCUGAUCUGAUUUACACUAAUACAGUGUUAUGUGUUUUUGUAACUGGGAUAUUGUGCCCUUCACCUUAGCCACAUGACUGGUUAGUGCUGCCAAUUUUGAAUGUGUCUAUGUUAUCGACUUGAUGAAUAGUCGCUGUUAUGCACUACUGCUUCUUGUCUUGCUUGGGGUAGUUUGAAACUUGACCUUGGAACUAUGCUGUAAGGGUUCGGGCAUCUGAAUGGGCGAGCAAAGAACUCUCAAGAUAAUAUCCAUUCAGCAUUGCAUGGAAAGAGUGGGAACAGAGAGGUGACAGAAAUAACUAAAUUGGAUCCCCAACACUUUGUGAAGAUGGUGACAUGCUGCAAGGAGUCUGAUUCGUUCUCAAGAAUGCUUGUCUUUGAGUACCAACGAAAUGGGACUCGUAAGCAGAUAUUGUCUUCGGCACUGCAACCUUGUGUGUCUGCGGAUGAUACCAUUUGACUGAAAACAUAUAAGCUCUGUUUGUUGAUUUUUUAGUUUCAGACUGGGAAGGAUGUGUCUGCUAUCUUGGCUGUGGUUGGAUGAAAAUUGCGCUUAGCAACGCGCGCAUUCUAAGACACAUACACACGGAGCUGCAGCCUCUGUUUGCCGUUACUGCGUUGACGUCCAGAUAAUCAACUUUGAGAGGUCUAGAGUUCUCGCCUCCCAACUGUUUGUCAGCUCUGAUGUCAUUGUCAAGAACGGGCCUCUCAACGGCAUCGUGUACGUCCAUGUCAACACAUUCGUCCAGGUCAACACAUUUGCCUCAGGGGUUAUCCUGAUGGAGCUGAGAAGCGGCCGAGCCUCACUCUCCAAAGAUACAGAAGAUGUGGUGGACUGCGUAAAGUAUAUUCAUAGCUCAUGGUUAUAGUGUUUGGGGCCUGCUUGAUUAUGCACUGUUCGCCUUUUGUUAAACUUCUUUACUCAACUUUUGGCCUUUCUGAAGUUUUAUUUAAAGAUACUGUGUUUAGAAUGCACCCUGCUAUAAUUUGUGCUUAAUAUCUCCAUGAGUUCUAUUCCA